GUCCAGACUCCUACGGGAGGCAGCAGUGAGGAAUAUUGGUCAAUGGGCUUACGCCUGAACCAGCCAAGUCGCGUGAGGGAAUAAGGCCCUAUGGGUCGUAAACCUCUUUUGUCAGGGAGCAAAGGCGUCCACGUGUGGACGAGAGGAGAGUACCUGAAGAAAAAGCAUCGGCUAACUCCGUGCCAGCAGCCGCGGUAAUACGGAGGAUGCGAGCGUUAUCCGGAUUUAUUGGGUUUAAAGGGUGCGUAGGCGGGCUGUUAAGUCAGCGGUCAAAUGUCGGGGCUCAACCCCGGCCUGCCGUUGAAACUGGCGGCCUCGAGUGGGCGAGAAGUAUGCGGAAUGCGUGGUGUAGCGGUGAAAUGCAUAGAUAUCACGCAGAACUCCGAUUGCGAAGGCAGCAUACCGGCGCCCGACUGACGCUGAGGCACGAAAGCGUGGGUAUCGAACAGGAUUAGAUACCCCCGUAUAG
rnacentral:rRNA from 1 species